rnacentral:rRNA from 1 species
AGAGUUUGAUCAUGGCUCAGAUUGAACGCUGGCGGCAUGCUUUACACAUGCAAGUCGAGCGGAGAGAAGUAGCUUGCUACUGAUCUUAGCGGCGGACGGGUGAAUAAUGCUUAGGAAUCUGCCUAUUAGUGGGGGACAACAUCUCGAAAGGGAUGCUAAUACCGCAUACGCCCUACCGGGGUAAGCAGGGGAUCUUCGGACCUUGUGCUAAUAGAUGAGCCUAAGUCGGAUUAGCUAGUUGGUAGGGUAAAGGCCUACCAAGGCGACGAUCUGUAGCGGGUCUGACAGGAUGAUCCACCACACUGGGACUGAGACACGGUCCAGACUCCUACGGGAGGCAGCAGUUGGGAACAUUGGACAAUUGGCGCAAGCCUGAUCCAGCCAUGCCGCGUGUGUGAAGAAGGCCUUUUGGUUGUAAAGCACCUUAAGCUAGGAGGAGGCUACUCUAGUUAAUACCUAGGAAUAGUGGCCGUUACUCGCAGAAGAAGCACCUGCUAACUCUGUGCCAGCAGCCGCGGUAAUACAGAGGGUGCGAGCGUUAAUCCGAUUUACUGGGCGUAAAGCGUGCGUAGGCGGCUGAUUAAGUCGGAUGUUGAAUCCCUUAGCUUAACUUAGGAAUUGCAUUCGAUACUGGUCAGCUAGAGUAUGGGAGAGGAUGGUAGAAUUCCAGGUGUAGCGGUGAAAUGCGUAGAGAUCUGGAGAAAUACCGAUGGCGAAGGCAGGCAUCUGGCCUAAUACUGGCGCUGAGGUACGAAAGCAUUGGGAACAAACAGGAUUAGAUAACCUGGUAGUCCAUGC